rnacentral:rRNA from 1 species
UACGUAGGGGGGCUAGCGUUGUCCGGAUUUAUUGGGCGUAAAGAGCGUGUAGGCGGCCUGGUAGGUCUGCUGUGAAAACUCGAGGCUCAACCUCGAGAUGUCGGCGGAAACCAUCUGGCUAGAGUCCGGAAGAGGAGAGUGGAAUUCCUGGUGUAGCGGUGAAAUGCGCAGAUAUCAGGAGGAACACCGAUUGCGAAGGCAGCUCGCUGGGACGUCACUGACGCUGAGACGCGAAAGCGUGGGGAGCAAACAGG